rnacentral:lncRNA from 1 species
AUUUCUGUCAUAUGACUGAGGCGCCCAUGGGGGUGGCGGGGCGGCGGUAGGAGCGGGGGGCCUCCGGCGAGCUCCCAGCCGAGCGACCCCCGGUCUGGAGGCGGCCAGCAUGGCCCCCACCUUGUUCCAGAAGCUUUUCAGCAAGCGGAGCGGGUUAGGCGCGUCGGGACGAGACGCCCGCGACCCGGACUGCGCGUUCAGUUGGCCCUUGCCAGAAUUUGACCCAAGCCAGAUUCGACUGAUUGUAUAUCAAGACUGUGAAAGACGAGGGAGAAAUGUAUUGUUUGACUCCAGUGUUAAGAGAAAAAAUGAGGACACAUCAGUAUCGAAGCUGUGUAAUGAUGCUCAAGUCAAGGUCUUUGGGAAGUGCUGCCAGCUGAAGCCAGGGGGAGACAGUUCUUCCUCUUUGGAUAGCUCUAUCACUUUAUCUUCUGAUGGAAAAGACCAGUGUCCCAAAUACCAGGUUCUCGGUGUUCUUCUGAUGCCAAUAUGCUUGGAGAGAUGAUGUUU